AUCAAUAAUAAAGUAGUUUUAUGCUUUUGGGAUAUUUCUUUACAAGCCAACAUUUAUGUCUUUAAGUCUUAACUCAUUGUGGGAAUAAAUGAUGGUGCAGAAUCUGCCAGCUACCAGUAAAGACGGUUGCACUGUUGCAUGUGGCGCUCGCAAAGCCCAUUCUAAAGAAUCUUGUUUUCUAGUACUAAUACUACUAUCUUAGUUAGAAUGGAUUAGUUAGAAUCAAUAAAUAUGGGUGUUGGACUGGUAGAGUGGUAGUUGAGGGGGGUAUGUGCAUGCGUUCUUGUGAAGCAGAGAGUGAGAGAGUGAGAGAGUUCUGAUAAGUUAAUACUGUUACUAUGGCUGAGAUUAACGAAGUGUUGCUGAAGAAGAAGGACAAGGUUGAAUACUAUGAGAAUUGCCCAGGUUGUAAGAUUGACAAGCUUAAAGAAAGCUCCCAUGGCCUUCCUUACAAGCAUUUGUUCUUCCUCUUCAUCGUGGUCCUUGCUGCAGCUUUGCCAAUAUCAUCUCUGUUCCCUUUCCUAUAUUUCAUGAUAAGAGACUUCCAUAUUGCAGAAAGGGAGGAAGAUAUUGGCUAUUAUGCUGGUUAUGUGGGAUCUGCCUUUAUGUUUGGAAGAGCUUUGACUUCUGUGCUCUGGGGAAUGAUAGCUGAUCGAUAUGGUAGAAAGCCUGUAAUAUUGUUUGGCUCAGUUACACUGGUUAUUUUCAAUACUCUUUUUGGCCUCAGUACAAACUUUUGGAUGGCAGUUUCUACAAGGUUUCUUCUUGGAAGUUUGAGCGGUAUACUUGGCCCAAUGAGGGCUUAUGCUUCAGAAAUUUGCCGUAAAGAAUAUCAAGCUUUGGGAUUGUCAAUUAUUAGCACAUCAUGGGGCAUUGGAUUAGUCAUUGGUCCAGCUCUUGGAGGUUAUCUUGCCCAGCCAGCGGAGAAAUAUCCAAACAUAUUUUCUGAAGAAUCUCUUUUCGGUAGGUUUCCAUACCUGUUACCAUGCCUUCUCAUAUCAAUCUUUGCAUUGGGAGUUGCUGUUCUAAGCUGUUGGCUCCCAGAAACACUACAUAUACAUACUAAAAACAAAGUACUUGAGGACUCAUAUGAUGCACUAGAGGCCACUGCCUAUGGGCCCAGUGAGAAAGGAAAUAUGCAAAAUUCUGAGGAGAGGCAUCAAUUUUCUUUACAGAGCCUUCUGAAAAAUUGGCCCUUGAUGUCAUCUAUCAUUGUAUACUGUGUUUUCCAACUUCAUGAUAUGGCUUAUUCAGAGAUUUUUUCAUUAUGGGCUGUUAGUCCCAGGAAAUAUGGGGGAUUGAGCUAUUCAACUGCAGAUGUUGGUGAAGUUCUCGCUGUUUCAGGUUUCGGUCUAUUGCUCUUUCAGCUAUUUUUAUACCCAUUGGUGGAGAGGUUUUUUGGGCCCAUCAGGACAUCUCGCAUUGGGGCAUUGGUUUCCUAUGAAGGCCUUAAGCAUACCAUUGCUGUCAAGUUACCCUUUUAUAGCCACACUUUCUGGUCUCAGCCUCGCUCUAUUGAUUGGCUGUGCAUCUUUAUUGAAGAAUGUGCUUGCUGUAUCAAUCACUACAGGAUUGUUCCUUCUUCAGAACAGAGCUGUGUCCCAAGGGGAAAGAGGAGCGGCAAAUGGCAUAUCAUUGUCUGCUAUGUCUUUAUUUAAAGCACUUGGUCCAGCUGGUGGAGGUUCACUAUUUUCCUGGGCACAGAAGCGUCAAAAUGUGGCCUUUCUUCCAGGCAUUUGAUUGGAGACAGAAUUUUCCUCCAAGCUGGUUAGGAAAAACGUUCCUCCACCCACUACUUGAUCGUUCAAAUGAAGACUUUGUCCUGUGUUCGGAUAACUAAAAUUUUUGGUGAUCACAUGGUUUUCUUCGUCCUAAACGUGAUUGAGGCGAUUGGACUGCUGAUGACUUUUAAACCAUUUCUAGCUGAACCAGCUGUGGACAAGUGACAACAUUUCCUAGCUUAAUUCUAGAGGUUGACUAACCCAAGAUAUUGGAAUUUCAGCCUUCAAAGAAUAAUUUAAGAAAUGCUGUAGAUCUUUCCUACAGCAGGCCAUUGAUGUUAAUGUUGACCAAUCAAGAAUUUUGGUGAUAAAAGGCCUGCUCUCUCUCUUUUCAAAUGACCAUUCAAUUAAACAUAAAAUACCACCCCUAUUCAAAUCUGCCAAAAAAAGAAAAAGAAAAAGAAAGUGAUGUAUAUGUGUGCACUUUAUUCUGUCCUGAUUGACUGCUAGCAUUUGUAUUUGUCAGUAUUCUCUUUUAGCAAGGUAAUGAUCAAGGCAUCAUCACAACCCACGUUGUUGGGCCAUGUAGUGCUACUCUUUUAGAUAUUGGAUAUUGCCAGUAGAGAUGUAAAUAAAAUAGGCUUAUGGCCUAGGUCUGUCUUUGUGAUA